GGACAGGUGGCAGAGCGGUUGAAUGUACCUGACUCGAAAUCAGGCGUACGGGUAACCGUACCGAGGGUUCGAAUCCCUCCCUGUCCG
rnacentral:tRNA from 1 species